rnacentral:rRNA from 1 species
GUGGGGAAUAUUGGACAAUGGGCGAAAGCCUGAUCCAGCAAUACCGCGUGUGUGAAGAAGGCCUUCGGGUUGUAAAGCACUUUAAGUUGGGAAGAAAAAGCUUCACCUAAUACGUGAAGCCUUGACGGUACCGACAGAAUAAGCACCGGCUAACUCUGUGCCAGCAGCCGCGGUAAUACAGAGGGUGCUAGCGUUAAUCGGAUUUACUGGGCGUAAAGCGUGCGUAGGCGGUUUGAUAAGUCGAUUGUGAAAGCCCCGGGCUUAACCUGGGAAUUGCGGUCGAUACUGUCAGACUCGAAAACGGUAGAGGGAGGCGGAACUCCAGGUGUAGCGGUGAAAUGCGUAGAUAUCUGGAAGAACACCGAUGGCGAAGGCAACCUCCUGGGCCUGUUUUGACGCUGAGGCACGAAAGCGUGGGUAGCAA